rnacentral:tRNA from 1 species
GCCGGAGUAGCUCAGCUGGUAGAGCAGCGCAUUCGUAAUGCGAAGGUCGGAGGUUCGACUCCUCUCUUCGGCA